ensembl:lncRNA
AAUAAUAGGGGAGGUAGACGGGAGAGGGGCUUGGGGGAAGAUAAUGAGUUUUGUUUCAGACAUAUUGUAUUGAAUUUAAGAUGUCUACUGGACACCCAGUUGGAGAUGUCUGAAUGUGAAAGGUGAAAUUGGAGGUUAGUGGAAAGGUAAGGGGAUGAUAGGUAGAUUUGAAAAUCAUCAGCACAGAGAUGAUAAUCAGAUCCAUGAGAGCUAAUGAGAUCACUGCAUGAACUCUCAUAGAGAGAGAAGAGAAAGGGGACCAGAGUCCUGUUAGAUACCCCCAGUAAGUGGGCAUGGUCUAGAUGAAGAUCUAGCAAAAAUGAUCGAAAUGGAGACGUCUGAGAAACAAGACAAGAACCAGGAAAGAAUAGAGUCCUAAAACCUGAAAAGAAGACAAUAUCUAGGAAAGGAAGACAAUCAACACUGCCAAAAGGCUGUGGAGGUCAGAAUGAGGCUUGAGAAAAGGCCACUGGAUUUGACCAUUUAAAAAGGUAAUUGGUAACUCUGGAGAUCAUUAAGAGAUCAAUGGUAACUCUGGAGAGAGAAGUUUCAGGGGGAUGCUGAGAUCAGAAGUCAGAUUGUAAGGGGUUAAUAAAUAAAUGAGAGGAGAGAAAGUGGAGGCAGCCAUUGUAGACAGCCUUCUAAGAAGAUUAGCCAUAAAAGGUAUGAGAGAUAAGGGACAAUAGUAGGGAUGAGUGGAUCUAGUAAGUAUUUUGUGAAGAAGAGAGAGACUGGGACUUGUUUGUAGGUAGAAGGGGAGGCAAAGGUAGACCUGCAAAGAUUGAAGCUGAGUGAGAUAAUGAGGUUGAUAGAAGAAAUAAUGUUAGAGGAGACAGGAUGGAAUGGGAUCCACUAGUGCAUCUGGAGAGAUUUGCCUAGGUGAAGGGGAGGAGGACACCUCUUCAAGUGAGGCAGGGGAGAAAGAGGAGAUGGUGGCAGAAGGCAUCUGAGUGUGAUAAGAGAUGAGAAAGAAGGAAGAAGAAGCAGCUCAUGGCACAUAACCUCAAUUUUUUCUGUAAAAUAGAACUAUUCCACUAUCAUCACUCUGCUGUUAGCCAUGGAAGCCAAUGUCCUCAAUCCUUACCUUCUGUCUUGGAAUCAAUAUUGAUUAAUUCUGCUGCCACCAGGGAGGAACACUGCAUAAUGUUCAAAGAUGUAGCUAGGGAGGAAUGAACAGAGCACCUGACCUGAAGUCAGACUUGAGUUCAGAUCAGAUCAGUGUCUGACCCUUAAAAGCUGGAUGACCAUACAAAGUCACUUUAAUCUUUCCGAGUUUCAGUUUCUUUAUCUAUAAAAUAAUGAUAAUAGUAGUUCCUAUCUUAAAGGGUUGUUUGGGGAUCAAAUGAGAUAGCAUCUGUGUAGUGCUUUGUAAACCCUAAAAUAUAAUAUAAUGAUAUCAGAUUAGUUUCACUGAUUUUUUUGUGGUUCUUCUUAAUAUAUUAUUUGUUAUCUCUUAAGAUGACUUUCUGAGUAGAGGGAAGUGGAGUAGAAAAAGGAGAAAAUCUGGUCAAUGUACGGAUAGGAGGUUCAUUAAAAUAUACUUGGAAAAACCCUCAAGCAAAUAGAGACAAAUAGUUGACCUUGACAGCCUUUCUUCCAUUUGGUCUCUGUACUGGACAUCUCACGACAUCACCCAUCGGGCCCCUGAUCCUGACAUCCAAAACAAAGCAACAAUAACUGGACAUCCUUCACAAUUGGGGGGGGGGGAAGCAAACAACCUUUCACAGACAUAUAUCUGCCUCUGUUAUGGUUUGCCUGGUGUUUAAUAAUAAGGUCAUGAAUCAAAGUAGUAUCUAUAGUUACAUCUUUCAAUGAAUUUGGUAUGAUUUUGACUUACCCAGAAUAAAUGCCUUUUAGGUGACA